GACGAACGCUGGCGGCGUGCUUAACACAUGCAAGUCGAACGGAAAGGCCCCCUUGUGGGGUACUCGAGUGGCGAACGGGUGAGUAACACGUGAGUAACCUACCCUUGACUUUGGGAUAACUUCAGGAAACUGGGGCUAAUACCGGAUAGGAGCUCCUGCUGCAUGGUGGGGGUUGGAAAGUUUCGGCGGUUGGGGAUGGACUCGCGGCUUAUCAGCUUGUUGGUGGGGUAGUGGCUCACCAAGGCUUUGACGGGUAGCCGGCCUGAGAGGGUGACCGGCCACAUUGGGCCUGAGAUACGGCCCAGACUCCUACGGGAGGCAGCAGUGGGGAAUAUUGCACAAUGGGCGGAAGCCUGAUGCAGCAACGCCGCGUGCGGGAUGACGGCCUUCGGGUUGUAAACCGCUUUCGCCUGUGACGAAGCGUGAGUGACGGUAAUGGGUAAAGAAGCACCGGCUAACUACGUG
rnacentral:rRNA from 1 species